rnacentral:rRNA from 1 species
GUCGGUGGCCAUACCACGUUGAAAGCACUGGUUCUCGUCGGAUCACCGAAGUUAAGCAACUUUGGGCCAGGCUAGUACUUGCAUGGGUUACCGGCUGGAAAUACCGGAUGCUGCCGGCU